UACGGGGGGGGCGAGCGUUGCUCGGAAUCACUGGGCGUAAAGGGUGCGUAGGCGGGUCUUUAAGUCAGGGGUGAAAUCCUGGAGCUCAACUCCAGAACUGCCUUUGAUACUGAGGAUCUUGAGUCCGGGAGAGGUGAGUGGAACUGCGAGUGUAGAGGUGAAAUUCGUAGAUAUUCGCAAGAACACCAGUGGCGAAGGCGGCUCACUGGCCCGGUACUGACGCUGGGGCACGAAAGCGUGGGGAGCAAACAGG
rnacentral:rRNA from 1 species